rnacentral:rRNA from 1 species
AUUGAACGCUGGCGGCAUGCCUUACACAUGCAAGUCGAACGGUAACAGGUCUUCGGAUGCUGACGAGUGGCGUACGGGUGAGUAAUACAUCGGAACGUGCCCGAUCGUGGGGGAUAACGAGGCGAAAGCUUUGCUAAUACCGCAUACGAUCUACGGAUGAAAGCGGGGGAUCUUCGGACCUCGCGCGGCCGGAGCGGCCGAUGGCAGAUUAGGUAGUUGGUGGGAUAAAAGCUUACCAAGCCGACGAUCUGUAGCUGGUCUGAGAGGAUGAUCAGCCACACUGGGACUGAGACACGGCCCAGACUCCUACGGGAGGCAGCAGUGGGGAAUUUUGGACAAUGGGCGAAAGCCUGAUCCAGCCAUGCCGCGUGCAGGAUGAAGGCCUUUGGGUUGGAAACUGCUUUUGUACGGAACGAAAAGCCUCUUUCUAAUAAAGAGGGGUCAUGACGGUACCGUAAGAAUAAGCACCGGCUAACUACGUG